AUACGUAUGUCUCAAGCGUUACCCGGAAUCACUGGGUGUAAAGGGUUCGUAGGCGGUUUGAUAAGUUGGAUAUGAAAGACUGGAGCUCAACUCCGUGUUGGUGUUCAAAACUGUCAAACUAGAAUCAGGGAGGGGUAAGCGGAAUUCUAAGUGUAGGGGUGCAAUCCGUAGAUACUUAGAGGAACACCGAAAGCGAAGGCAGCUUACUGGAACUGUAUUGACGCUCAUGAACGAAAGCGUGGGGAGCGAAAAGGAUUAGAAACCCUAGUAGUCC
rnacentral:rRNA from 1 species